UGCGGGGUGGAGCAGUUGGUAGCUCGUNNCUCAUAACCCAAAGGUCGUAGGUUCAAGUCCUGCCCCCGCUACAA
rnacentral:tRNA from 1 species